AUCUUAAUUGGAGUUUUUNGGCUCUUAUACGAUUUUGAUGGGAGAUCAGUGAAAAUAAGUCUUUCACUAUUAUAUAAAUCUAACUCGUAUUUCCUAAC
rnacentral:rRNA from 1 species